GUCUCUUAAGAAACAUCCGAUAAAAUUGAAACGAUAAAAAAAGAUUAGCAUGACACCUGCCCAAGAAUGACACGCACAAAUACAGAAAUGGUCCAUUUUUUU
rnacentral:snRNA from 1 species